rnacentral:rRNA from 1 species
UACAGAGGACCCAAGCGUUGUUCGGAUUCACUGGGCGGAAAGGGUGCGUAGGCGGUUGGGUAAGUCUGUCGUGAAAUCUCCGAGCCUAACUCGGAAACUGCGUCGGAUACUAUUCAACUCGAGGAAUGGAGGGGAGACUGGAAUUCUCGGUGUAGCAGUGAAAUGCGUAGAUAUCGAGAGGAACACCAGUGGCGAAGGCGAGUCUCUGGACAUUUCCUGACGCUGAGGCACGAAAGCCAGGUGAGCAAACGGG